rnacentral:rRNA from 1 species
GACGAACGCUGGCGGCGUGCUUAACACAUGCAAGUCGAACGGAAAGGCCCUGCUUUUGUGGGGUGCUCGAGUGGCGAACGGGUGAGUAACACGUGAGUAACCUGCCCUUGACUUUGGGAUAACUUCAGGAAACUGGGGCUAAUACCGGAUAGGAGCUCCUGCUGCAUGGUGGGGGUUGGAAAGUUUCGGCGGUUGGGGAUGGACUCGCGGCUUAUCAGCUUGUUGGUGGGGUAGUGGCUUACCAAGGCUUUGACGGGUAGCCGGCCUGAGAGGGUGACCGGCCACAUUGGGACUAAGAUACGGCCCAGACUCCUACGGGAGGCAGUAGUGGGGAAUAUUGCAGAAUGGGCGGAAGCCUGAUGCAGCAACGCGGAGUGCGGGAGGACGGCUUUCGGGUGGUAAACCGCUUUCGCCGGUGACGAAGCGGGAGUGACGGUAAUGGGUAAAGAAGCACCGGCUAACUACGUG